GACGAACGCUGGCGGCGUGCUUAACACAUGCAAGUCGAACGAAGUGGCGAACGGGUGAGUAACGCGUAAUCAACCUGCCCUUCAGAGGGGGACAACAGUUGGAAACGACUGCUAAUACCGCAUACUGAAGGAGGGGAUUGCGUCUGAUUAGCUAGUUGGGGGGGUAACGGCCUACCAAGGCGAUGAUCAGUAGGCGGUUGUAGAGGGAGAACCGCCACAAUGGGACGUAGGAACCGGCCAGAAUCCUACGGGAGGCAGCAGUGGGGAAUCUUUUGAAAUGGAGGGAAGUCUGACUGCGCAACGCCGGGUGAGUGAUGACGGCCUUCGGGUUGUAAAGCUCUGUUAAGCGGGACGCGGUACCGGAAUAGAAAGCCACGGCUAACUACGUGCCAGCAGCCGCGGUAAUUC
rnacentral:rRNA from 1 species